rnacentral:lncRNA from 1 species
CACAAUGGAAGGGGCUAGUAUAUAUACUUAAAAGUAGCAUAGAUUUUGGAGGAAUGGCAGAGAGCAGAGGAAAGCUGAGGAGAAUUUCUAUUUUGCCCAGGGUAUCCUGACAGAAAAUGACCUCCUUAAAGACAGAAGAGAAAUUCCUGGAAAGAGGUCAUUUGAUGACUGUUGAAGAUGGCAGAAACCUCACUUCUACCAAGGAGUUUAAUGUUAUUGUUGAAUAACUGAACUGCUGUAUUCAUCAAAUAUUCUGUCCUUAAAUAUAGUGGUUUCUCAAUAAAUGUAUAAUGAAUUAACGGAUUCAAACCUCACUUAAUUCUUAACUUUCAUCCAUUAACCCUAGUUCUGCUCUUGUAACUACACAAAAUCAUCUCACCCUCUUCCAUAAUGCUAAAGGUAACUAUUUUGGGUUUUCAAGUCUUUACCUUUCCCGUAUAAACACACCAACAAAUAACCUUUCCCAG